rnacentral:lncRNA from 1 species
GCGUAUAAGUGCUGCGGGAAUGUUAUAAAACAAAGACAUUUCCCUAUCUUCUCUUAAGGAUCCAUGCACCAUUGGCGUCAAGAAGAAAACCAAAAACUCACUUCCAUGGGACUGCUCGUCACAACAGGACAUGAGUGCAUUGCCCCACAUUGGUCGGUUCCUCCGUGGUGACGCUGGGCCACAGAAGAUAACCGGAACCCUCGACUGUGUGGAGAAGUGGAUCCCUGUGCUAGCUGAGAGAUUUUCCCCCCAAUUUUCAAGAAGAGACACUAGAAGAUUUAUGGGUUCAGCUUGAUGUAUACACUUUGUGAUAAAAUAUUUUUGCAAGGAAAAGACUAAAUACUCCACCCUCUCAUUAAACCCUUCAAACAGUUCAGGAGGAGCUGUCACUCCAGGGACCACAAGUUCGCUGCCCUCAUUCACAUCUCCCUGCCUCACGGAAGCUACUUCUUUAAAACAUCAUGAUACCUCACUGCCCCGCUCUUAACCUCAGAAUCCUUGGCACAUUUCAUAAAAGGUUGACUUCCAUUUGGAGCACGGGAAAUAUCAUAUUAAAAUAAUCAUGAAACGGUUGAAUUGCAUUAUUGCUUUUUCCACUGAAUAUGGUUAUAAGAAAACUCCACUAAACCAAGCAUAGCAUUUCAUCAGUGAGAAGUCCUUUAAGGAAAAUACAAUUAAUGCUUUGGACUGUUUAAAGGAAGAAGUCAAACCUCAUAUUUGCCUGGGGAAAUUUAAGGUAGGCUCCAUGUUGCAGAUAUAGAAAAUCAAGAACAGUUUUUGUAGCACAACUUGUCAAUUAGCGUGCAUGUUUUAACAGUGUAUGCCUAGAAAAUUUUAAUGUCUUCUCAUUGUUACCCACGUACAAACCCACAACCAGCGUGAACACCGAAAAUUUUGUUAUCUCGGAUGGUAUUCAUCUUGUUUCUUAUGGGAAUUUUAAUCUCGUGAUGUUUCAUGUAGCCAUUAACCCUUCUUCAACCUGGAUUUCAAGGCACAGAUCUGGUGUGAGCAAGCCAGGCAAGCCUGUUAACCACUCUUCUAAGACGCACACUCAAUCUUGGCUGAAUGAAUGAACGAAUUUCUCUACUUCCUCCUCAU